rnacentral:rRNA from 1 species
AUUGAACGCUGGCGGCAGGCCUAACACAUGCAAGUCGAGCGAGCGGCGGACGGGUGAGUAAUGUAUGGGGACUGCCCGAUAUAGGGGGAUAACUACUGGAAACGGUAGCUAAUACCGCAUACUAUCGGAUAACCCAUAUGGGAUUAGCUAGUAGGUGAGGUAUUGGGUCACCUAGGCGACGAUCCCUAGCUGGUCUGAGAGGAUGAUCAGCCACACUGGGAAUGAGACACGGCCCAGACUCCGACGGAGGCAGCAGUGGGGAAUAUUGCACAAUGGGGGCAAGCCUGAUGCAGCCAUGCCGCGUGUAUGAAGAAGGCCGUAGGGGUGUAAAGUACUUUCAGUCGGGAGGCGUUACCCACAGAAGAAGCACCGGCUAACUCCGUGCCAGCAGCCGCGGUAAUUC